CCUACGGGACGCAGCAGUAGGGAAUUUUCGUCAAUGGGCGCAAGCCUGAACGAGCAAUGCCGCGUGAACGAGGAAGGUCUUCGGAUCGUAAAGUUCUGCUGCAGGGGAAAAAGAGCGGAGAGAGGAAAUGGUCUCCGAUUGAUAUUACCCUUCGAGGAAGUCACGGCUAACUACGUGCCAGCAGCCGCGGUAAUACGUAGGUGGCGAGCGUUAUUCGGAAUAACUGGGCGUAAAGGAUGCGUAGGCGGUUAAACAAGGUAUAUGUUAAAU
rnacentral:rRNA from 1 species